GGAAAAGCAGGCCUGGAGAUUAAAUGAGUUGACCAGGUUUACACCCACAUACUAAGUGAGGCGCAAAGCCGCAAUUAGAACCGGAGUACCUCGCUGGCAGCCUUCUGAAGAGUCUGGUUUUUAUGUGUGGUAUUGGGAACUGGAUGCAAAGCUGUUGUUCAAGCCAAAGACAUUAUCUAAGUAACUCCCUUGUGAAUAUCCCAGAAAUGGCAGGUAUCCAGUGGGUUCCUGAUAUCUUCAAGCAACGCUUUCUCUUCAAUCAUUUGUACCCUUAAUUUAAUGGCUUCUGACAAUAAAUUAUUUUGGAACUCAUUUCCAAAUGGGUAGAAAUACAUGCUGGUUUUAAAAGUGUUAGGCUGUCGGCUGUGCCAGAAAUUCUCCGGCAAACAACUAAUUAUGUCCACAGAUAGAGUCUGACAAAAAAUUUGCUUCAAGCCACAAGUCAGAGGCUUAACCAUUGUUUGUGGUAAGUUACUUUACAGCUUGUGAUUUCAGUGAGUUGGGUGGGAAUGUGGCUGUGAAGCAGUGUUCUUUGUUUGAGACACAGGCCCCGCUUUAGCCAGCUUAUAGAGCCAUAUGUAAAAUGGCCUCUUUGCUUUCAGUUAACUGGAUGCUGUUCACCUUUCUGCUCUGCUGAGCACCAUUUCAUGACUUCACAGCCCAGGAAUUAAACCCAGCACACAAAGCAGCAUUACCAGUAAUUGUCUACAGAUUAAAUUAAAUGCCUGUCCUCAUACGGUGUAUCUGAAUUGUAUCAGACUCACUUCUCUGUUUACACACUUGUUCCUGUCAGGAAGAGGCAGCUACUGCA